GAUGCCGUCUUCUUUGGUCAAAGAGAAGCAGCCACCAAAAGCAGAAGCUCUUCCUUCUCCGUCUCCCUCCUCGUCUCCACCCCCGAGCAUCCCUCGCUCUCGAACUCCUAACCGCAACUCUUAUCGUUUAACCUUUGCGAAUCCGUCGCUGGAUCUUGCGAUCGCGUCCCCUUCCCCGGUCCGAUACGUCUCCGGUCUCCGUCUCCGCUUGAAUUUCGCAUAAAGGGAGCAGAUGCCAGAGGAGGAUCUGGUGGAGCUGAGAUUUCGGCUCUAUGAUGGAUCCGACAUCGGUCCCAUCUGCUACUCUUCGUCUUCCACGGUUGCUAUGCUCAAAGAGAGGAUAAUAUCUGAAUGGCCAAGAGAUAAGAAGAUUAUCCCAAAAUUGGCUAAUGAUGUCAAACUGAUAAGUGCGGGAAAAAUAUUGGAUAACAGCAAAACAAUCUCUCAGUGCAGACCAAGUUUUGGUGAACUCCCUGGAGGGGUUAUCACUAUGCAUGUUGUUGUGCAGCCGUCGUCUGCUAAAUCUAAAACAGAGAAGAACGUCGACGAGUUGCCAAAGAAAGCCUGUUCCUGUUCCAUAUUGUAGAGCAAUUAGCUUCAUCUAUUAGUUAGUCAGCUACAAUAGUAUUAUAUCCACCUGGGAGGAACAGGAAGAUGGCAGAACACUCAUGGCACAAGUUCUUUUCCUGGAUGAAGAUACCGAUGCUUCCCUCAUUCCAUCUCUGCUGUCGCAGGUUGGUGAGAUGGGAAAAGAGAGGUCUCCACUAAUCUUCAACUUGUGAGAUCCAGUGGCAUACUUUCCCUGCCAUCUUGCUUUCACUACCUUCCACACUGAUCACUGAUCACUGAUCACUGAUCUUUAGUGAUCAACUUUUUAAACGGGUACGGGUACGGAUCCGUCGAUUAUUAGAUUCAGAUCCGUAUUUGAGUUUUCUGGUGUCACUCUUUUCCGCAUCCUCGGAACUGGGCAGUUUUUUAAACGGGUACGGAUUCAUUAAUUAAUAGAUUCAGAUCCGCGUUUGAGUUGGUUGUUUAUCGGAUUCGGAUUUGGAUCCUGCUGUUCGAAUCCAAGUCGUAAGCAUCGCUGUGUGCAGUCUCCUUCUCCAAGUCCGAACCUUCUCGGACUCUUCCCGAGCUCACUCACCACAUAUAUAUAUAUAUAUAUAUCGACCCCUUAAACCCCAGUCGCGUAACAGAAAGUUCACGAGGCUUUCGACUUCAGAGAUACAGAGAGUGAUGGAGAACUUCUUCUCGGCCGAUCCAUGGAACGCCGCCGGGCAUUGACGGGACAAGCCCGAUCGAGACUCAGCGGUGCCGGCGGCGAAGCCUCGAGUGGUACCCAUUCCCGUCCACUUUGUCGGAUCCGACGGGACGCCCGCGGAGGCGGCAAGGUCGGCUGCGGCCGCGACGAUCCUGAGGGUCCUCCGAGGCCACCUGAUGCGGAAGAACGUGAGGGUAGUCUCCCGGAUCGAUGCGGCGGUGGGGGAGAUCGAGCGGUGGAUCCGGGAGGAAGAAGAGUAGUUGUAGGCGGACCCGAUGGAGCGGCUGUGGAUGGGUGAGAGAUGCUCAUGGCGUUGCUCCUCCGCCUGGACUCGGUGCGCUGGGUGAGGGAGUACAGCGGAAGAAGGUGAUCCGGAGAGUGAUCUCGCUGCAGGAGUUCAUGGAUUCGUUCCCGGCCCAACCCCAAACCCUAGAAUCAUCAGAGAUCCGUGAUUCUGGUGCCGACGCCAAAGACAACGCGGUUCUUGAACGCCAUGAUCCGGGCUCUACUGCCGACGGAUAAGUUGUCUUCCACGAGAACCAAGAUCCGAUGUUAGCCGUGAAAUGCCAAAGCCCACGAAAGAGGACCGAUCUCCGAUGCUUCUGAUGACAAGUUCGAAACCCUGGACUUCGCGGGGGAAGAAGGCUUCGUGUUGAUCAGCAUGGACGAAGCCAUGGGUACGUCUCCCACGGGAGCUGUCUCUGAAGCAAAAUACGAUGAGGUUAGCAUGGAGAAAUCUGCUGUAUCUGGCGAAGAGAGCAGGGACGAAUCAGGACCGCACAUGGAAAAGGAUCCAAACAAGAAUGGGCAGACCAAGGAGAUGGUCCGAAGGAUGAAUUUUGGAUGGCACAGGUGCUGAAGAAGAUGAUGUAGAGAAGGAAAGGCUGCAGGAUCUGGUGGCAACGCAAUGAGAAGAGAGCGCACAGAUAAGCAGCGCGAUGACAUGGCUGGUCGAGAGGGUCGAGUGCUUGGAGCAGGGGGUAUAGAGCAUGAAAAAGGAGAGUAAGAAAAGGCAUGCUAACUGCGCUCCUGCCUCCCCAAUCAAUAAGAAAGGUGACCCACAGAUAUAGCAGCUAUAGAUGGAGUGAAGUCCUCGUACCUUAGAAGGUGGAGAUUGCUAGCUAGCUUAUUUGUCAUUGAACAUUGUAGUUGAACAUUCAUCUUAGUUUAAUGGUCGUGAUGAGGCUUAAACAUGCUGAUUUAAAAAUAAAUAUUUUGUGAAUUUAAGUUUC